rnacentral:rRNA from 1 species
UACGUAGGGUGCGAGCGUUAAUCGGAAUUACUGGGCGUAAAGCGUGCGCAGGCGGUUGUGCAAGACAGAGGUGAAAUCCCCGAGCUUAACUUGGGAACUGCCUUUGUGACUGCAUGGCUAGAGUGUGUCAGAGGGGGGUAGAAUUCCACGUGUAGCAGUGAAAUGCGUAGAUAUGUGGAGGAAUACCGAUGGCGAAGGCAGCCCCCUGGGAUAACACUGACGCUCAUGCACGAAAGCGUGGGGAGCAAAC